UCUUUAAUGGAGAGUUUGAUCCUGGCUCAGGACGAACGCUGGCGGCGUGCCUAAUACAUGCAAGUCGAGCGGGGUUAGUUAGAAGYUUGCUUCUAAUUAACCUAGCGGCGGACGGGU
rnacentral:rRNA from 1 species